UUAGUGGAAGCGUCUGGAAAGGCGCGCGAUACAGGGUGACAGCCCCGUACACAAAAGCGCAUGUGCUGUGAGCUCGAUGAGUAGGGCGGGACACGUGGUAUCCUGUCUGAAUAUGGGGGGACCAUCCUCCAAGGCUAAAUACUCCUGACUGACCGAUAGUGAACCAGUACCGUGAGGGAAAGGCGAAAAGAACCCCGGCGAGGGGAGUGAAAAAGAACCUGAAACCGUGUACGUACAAGCAGUGGGAGCACAGGUUUACCUGUGUGACUGCGUACCUUUUGUAUAAUGGGUCAGCGACUUAUAUUCUGUAGCAAGGUUAACCGAAUAGGGGAGCCGGAGGGAAACCGAGUCUUAAYYGGGCGUUAAGUUGCAGGGUAUAGACCCGAAACCCGGUGAUCUAGCCAUGGGCAGGUUGAAGGUUGGGUAACACUAACUGGAGGACCGAACCGACUAAUGUUGAAAAAUUAGCGGAUGACCUGUGGCUGGGGGUGAAAGGCCAAUCAAACCGGGAGAUAGCUGGUUCUCCCCGAAAGCUAUUUAGGUAGCGCCUCGUGAAUUCAUCUCCGGGGGUAGAGCACUGUUU
rnacentral:rRNA from 1 species